AAGUCGUAACAAGGUUUCCGUAGGUGAACCUGCGGAAGGAUCAUUAACGAAUGUCGAGUCGGCCGACCGUGCUGGCGGUGACGCACGUGCACGUCGGUCGCAACACAUCCACACACCUGUGAACGUAUGGCCUUUGGGUCUUCAGACCCGGGGCAAACCUUUUUCACCCACUCCGAUCGUAAAGGAAUGUCCGCUUGCGAAAUCGCAAAAGCAAACAACUUUCAACAACGGAUCUCUUGGCUCUCGCAUCGAUGAAGAACGCAGCGAAAUGCGAUAAGUAAUGUGAAUUGCAGAAUUCAGUGAAUCAUCGAAUNUUUGAACGCACCUUGCACCCUUUGGUAUUCCGAAGGGUACGCCCGUUUGAGUGUCAUUGUAAUCUCACCCCGAGGGGACUCGUCUCCUCGGUGUGGACUUGGAUGUUGCCGCGCUCUCGGCUCGUCUGGAAUGCCUCAGUGUUACCCGCUCGUCGGUGUCGACAGUGUGAUAAGUAUCUUCACUGUGUAAGCCUCCUCGGAGGCGCGCCCUCGGAUGGAACGUGGCGCUGCCAACCGUCUUCGGACGACUCUUGACGAUUUGACCUCAAAUCGGGUGGGACUACCCGCUGAACUUAA
rnacentral:rRNA from 1 species